AGCAGCCCAGGCGAUCCCAAGGCGCACAAGUGCUCUCACCAGGCUGCGCGCUGGCGGGUCGGUGCACAGGGACGGGGUCGCCGCCCACGCGCGCUUGGUUCAGGGAGCCCAGGCUGUCCCUACCCGCGGCUACAAAAGCUCGCCGAGUCUUCCUGUCCACCCAAUCGCCCCACAUGUCAGCGGUUGGUCGCCUCGCGGUGCAGUGCUGGGCACGCGAGCCCCUCCCGCAGUCAUUCUCAGCACAAGCACCAGCCUGGAGCCCCGCAGCGACAGAGCUGAGAGCCCCCAAGCCGCAGAGGUCGUGCGGAGCAGGUUGCAAAUGUCUUAGAAACACACUCCUGGACCACAGCUUCAAGAGACGCAAGCAGUCACCUCAUCUGCUGGUUUCCAAGCUGCCCUGCCAGAAGCAGGUCAGGGGUCCCACAGGGGUCCUCAGUAACUCCUCAAAAUCCUCUCCCAUCAAUGGCCCCACCAGAUCAUCCCUACUUUUGAAUGCUUGUCCAAUGCAGGUUCCAGAUUUGAUUAAGUGAAACAAAGCCCCAGCUGCUGGAGCAGAGGUUCCACUUGGGUUCCACAGACACCCACAGCCCAAAUCCCUGGAGGCCUAAGGCAAUAGCUAAUUGAGACUAUGCAUCACUAUUAAGGCAUCUUCACUAAAGGGCGCUGUGGAAACGCUGCCUGAGAUGCAGACACCUGUCAGAAGGGGGCUAAAUUUCAAACAAGGAACGUGGUGUUGCAUCACAAUAAAUAGAUACGGGGUUUCACCGUGUUAGCCAGGAUGGUCUCGAUCUCCUGACUUCAUGAUUCACAUGCCUCGGCCUCCCAAAGUGCUGGGAUUACAGAACAGAAGAAACACACGUGUUCUUGUGUGUAAACCCAGUCCAUGGAAGAGACCGUCUGCUUGUCCCUCCUGAUCUCUGGGCCCAGACAACCAGUAGUCACCAUUCCAAGUGAGGGGUGGCUGCAACUCUACAGCCCCGUUCGUCUCUCCUCACUGUCAAAGCUGCUGAGACCCCAGACUCGACACUUGAAAGAAACCCAUGUCUGUGAAGCACUUGUGGACCAUUCAAGAUUGUGGAAGAAUCACUCAAGAGAAGGAGAUAGCAAUAUUUGCAGAUAUGCAAACUGGCCCCUUGCAUGCACAUCCUGGAGCACGUCCUGGAGCCUUUAGAGGAGACGGCUGCUGCUGUUCCAGUCUCUCCUUAGGCAGACUUGAGUUUCUACCCACUCUUCCCAAGCAGCCGCCCCUCCGCACCCGAGCGAGCCAAAGACCUGGCGGGCUGAGUACUCACUGCGCGCUGGACACAUGCUGAGCCGGCACUGCAGGGACACAGGGCGAGCCGCUGGAUGCAGACCUGUGGCCGCGGCAGAAAUGGAGUCUUGCUAUGUUGCUCAGGCCGGUCUUGAACUCCUGGUCUCAAGACAGUCCUUCCUGGGAUUAUAGACAUGAGCCACCACACCUGGCCAAGAUUUUCUUUUCUCUAGCUUAUGUUAAGAAUAUAUAAUACAUAUGACAUACAAAAUAUAUGUUAAUUGAUUGUUUUAUGUUUUCAGUAAGGCUUCCAGUCAACAGUAGGCUAUUAGUAGCUAAGUUUUUGGGGAGUUAUAUGCAAAAGUUAUAUGCAGAUUUUCGACUGAGAGAAAGAUCCAUGUACACAUUGUUCAAGGGUUAAUUGUGCUGUAUAUAGAAUAAAAAAAAAUUUGUAACCUCACAGGACAAAAUAAUGAAAAUAAAAAUAAAGAUUAAAAUAGG
rnacentral:lncRNA from 1 species